rnacentral:rRNA from 1 species
AGUGAACGCUGGCGGUAGGCCUAACACAUGCAAGUCGAACGGCAGCACAGUAAGAGCUUGCUCUUACGGGUGGCGAGUGGCGGACGGGUGAGGAAUACAUCGGAAUCUACUUUUUCGUGGGGGAUAAUGUGGGGAAACUUACGCUAAUACCGCAUACGACCUACGGGUGAAAGCAGGGGAUCUUCGGACCUUGCGCGAUUGAAUGAGCCGAUGUCGGAUUAGCUAGUUGGCGGGGUAAAGGCCCACCAAGGCGACGAUCCGUAGCUGGUCUGAGAGGAUGAUCAGCCACACUGGAACUGAGACACGGUCCAGACUCCUACGGGAGGCAGCAGUGGGGAAUAUUGGACAAUGGGCGCAAGCCUGAUCCAGCCAUACCGCGUGGGUGAAGAAGGCCUUCGGGUUGUAAAGCCCUUUUGUUGGGAAAGAAAAGCAGCAGGUUAAUACCCCGCUGUUCUGACGGUACCCAAAGAAUAAGCACCGGCUAACUUCGUG